GUAACAAGGUCUCCGUUGGUGAACCAGCGGAGGGAUCAUUACCGAGUUUACAACUCCCAAACCCCUGUGAACAUACCAAUUGUUGCCUCGGCGGAUCAGCCCGCUCCCGGUAAAACGGGACGGCCCGCCAGAGGACCCCUAAACUCUGUUUCUAUAUGUAACUUCUGAGUAAAACCAUAAAUAAAUCAAAACUUUCAACAACGGAUCUCUUGGUUCUGGCAUCGAUGAAGAACGCAGCAAAAUGCGAUAAGUAAUGUGAAUUGCAGAAUUCAGUGAAUCAUCGAAUCUUUGAACGCACAUUGCGCCCGCCAGUAUUCUGGCGGGCAUGCCUGUUCGAGCGUCAUUUCAACCCUCAAGCCCCCGGGUUUGGUGUUGGGGAUCGGCGAGCCCUUGCGGCAAGCCGGCCCCGAAAUCUAGUGGCGGUCUCGCUGCAGCUUCCAUUGCGUAGUAGUAAAACCCUCGCAACUGGUACGCGGCGCGGCCAAGCCGUUAAACCCCCAACUUCUGAAUGUUGACCUCGGAUCAGGUAGGAAUACCCGCUGAACUUAAGCAUAUC
rnacentral:misc_RNA from 1 species